rnacentral:tRNA from 1 species
GAUGUAGCUCAGUGGUAGAGCACUUGUUUAGCAACCCUGAGGCUCUGGGUUUGAUUCCCAGUAUC